rnacentral:tRNA from 1 species
GGAGAGGUGCUGGAGUGGUCGAACAGGGCUGCCUGCUAAGCAGUUGUGCGGAUAAAACCGCACCGGGGGUUCGAAUCCCCCCCUCUCCGCCA